rnacentral:rRNA from 1 species
AGUGAACGCUGGCGGCAGGCCUAACACAUGCAAGUCGAGCGGCAGCGCGGGGGCAACCCUGGCGGCGAGCGGCGGACGGGUGAGGAAUUCGUCGGAAUCUGCCUUUUUGUGGGGGAUAACGUAGGGAAACUUACGCUAAUACCGCAUACGUCCUACGGGAGAAAGUGGGGGACCGCAAGGCCUCACGCAGAAAGAUGAGCCGACGACCGAUUAGCUAGUUGGUGGGGUAAAGGCCCACCAAGGCGACGAUCGGUAGCUGGUCUGAGAGGAUGAUCAGCCAAAGGGGGACGGAGAAGGGCCCCGGCCCCCUGGGGGGGGAGGGAGUGGGGAAAUUUGGAAAAGGGGCGGAACCUUGCCCCAGCCAUGCCGCGUGGGUAAAAAAGGCCUUGGGUUUGUAAGGCACUUUUGUCGGGAAAAAAACCCCGGGACCAAAUACCUUCGGGGAAUGAGGGUACCGAAAAAAAAAGCCCCGGCUAACUUGGUG